rfam:Weissella koreensis KACC 15510, complete genome.
CACAAACUGCAACCACUCGAACCCCGUUUUAAAGUCGUCGACUGCGGAUAAGGUGAGUCUAAGUUAUAUA